UCCUGGAGGAGAUCACCCAGCUUGUCAUGCUAGAGCACUUUUUCAAUGUGCUCCCCAACGAGAAGGCGACGACGCAUUCCAAUGUAAAUCCAUAUCAAAUUUCGAUGCCAUUGACUGCACCACCAUGGUGACCACAGGUAACAGGGAAUCAGGGUUCGAUUCCGUACAGGGACCCUGACAAAUGGCUACCACAUGCAAGGAAAGCAGCAGGCGCGCAAAUGACCCACUCCCGACGCGGGAAUGUAGUGACGACAAAUAACAAUACAGGACUCUUUAGAGGCCCUGUAAUUGUAAUGAGUCCACUUGAAAUCCUUUAACUCUGAUCAAUUGGAGGGAAGUCUGGUGGAGAGCCACUGACCCGUGCGUGCUGCGGGUGAAACUCCACUA